AUUUAAAGGAGCUACUUCAAGUGUUACAGCAGCCACACCCUGAGUGCCAAACCGGUUAUUCAACUUCUCCUAUGUAGCUACUGUGAGGAUACAAACCCGAGCCCAGGAAGCUACCAGGUUCCAGAUGCUAACAUGAUGCCAUCUGGACUUCCAAGGGCAGACGACCAGUGUCUGCUGGAGCCCCACCUCCCCAGAUCCCUGCCCCACUAGGGAAAGAGAGAGGCAGGCCGGGAAUGUGAAUUGACCUGUCCACAUCCAUGUUUAGUGAGUAAGCAA